rnacentral:rRNA from 1 species
ACCCGUUGAUCCUGCGGGAGAUCGCUGCUAGUAGGAUUCGAAUUAGCCAUGCAAGUCCAGGGGGCCCUUGAGGUCACCGGCGCAACGCUCAGUAACACGUCGCUAACCUGCCCUAGAGUCGGGAAUAGCCAUGGGAAACUAUGGGUAAAAACCUGAUAAGGUAUGCCAUCUGGAAUGAGGCGUACUUCAAACUCGAGCUCUAGGAUGGGGCGGCGGCCGAUUAGGUUGUUGGCGGGGUAACGGCCCACCAAGCCAAAGAUCGGUACGGGCCAUGGAAGUGGUAGCCCGGAGAGGGACACUGAGAUACUGGUCCCAGCCCUACGGGGUGCAGCAGGCGCGAAACCUCUACAAUGUACGAAAGUGUGAUAGGGGAAUCCUACGUGCUCAUGCAAUGCAUGGGCUUUUGCCAAAUGUAAAAAGUUUGGAGAAUAAGUGGUGGGCAAGACUGGUGCCAGCCGCCGCGGUAACACCAGCGCCACAAGUGGCAAUCACGAUUAUUGGGCCUAAAGCGUCCGUAGCCGGAUAGAUACAUCUCUUGUGAAAUCCUCGUGCUUAACGCGAGGGCAUGCAAGAGACACGGUCUAUCUUGGGAAUGGGAGGAGUCAGAGGUAUUCAGGGGGGACCGGUAAAAUGGUAUAAUCCCUUGAGGACCAUCGAUGGCGAAGGCAUCUGACCAGAACAUGUCCGACGGUGAGGGACGAAAGCUAGGGGAGCGAACCGGAUUAGAUACCCGAGUAGUCCUGGCUGUAAACGCUGCGAGCUAGGUGUUGCGUCUCCCACGUGGAGUCGCAGUAUCGACGCGAAGGCAUUAAGCUCGCCGCCUGGGAAGUACGGUCGCAAGACUGAAACUUUAAGGAAUUGGCGGGGGCGCACCACAAGGGGUGCGGCGUGCGGUUUAAUCUAAUUCAACACAGAGAAUCUCACUAGGGGCGACGGUAGGAUGAAGGUCAGUCUAAAGGGCUUACCUGACGAGCCGAGAGGUAGUGCAUGGCCGCCGCCAGCUCGUGUCGUAAGAUGUCCAGCUAAGCCUGGUAACGAGCGAGACCUGUAUCAUUAAUUGCUAACGGCUAACUUGUUUAGGACUGAGCACAUUAGUGAGACUGCCUUGGUAACAAGGAGGAAGGUGCAGGCUACGGUAGGUCUGUAUGCUCCGAAUCUCCUAGGCUACACGCGCGCAACAAUGACCGGGACAAUGGGCUGCAACACCGAAAGGUGAAGCUAAUCCUCGAAACCCGGCCCCAGUUCAGAUUGAGGAUUGUAACUCAUCCUCAUGACGCCGGAAUCCCUAGUAACCAGAGUUUAUCAUACUCCGGUGAAUAUGUCCCUGCGCCUUGCACACACCGCCCGUCAAACCAAUCGAGCAGGGUCUAGGUAAAACACAGCUUUAAUUGGCUAUGUUGAAUCUAGGCUCAGUUAGAUGGGUUAAGUCGUCACAAGGUA